AUACUCACCUGGCAGGGGAGACUGCCAUGAUCAAGAAGGUGGUUCACCCAGGGUGAGGGUGCACUCUGGUUGUGCUGACCCCUGCGAAUUCCCCAAAUGUGGGAAUAUCAACUGCAUAAUUUAUGGUAGUGGGGGACUGCGUUCGCGCUCUCCUCCG
ensembl:snRNA U1 U1 spliceosomal RNA